rnacentral:rRNA from 1 species
CCCCGGCGCCACAAGUGGUCAUCGCGAUUAUUGGGCCUAAAGCGUUCGUAGCCGGCUUGGUAAAUCUCUUGUGAAAUUGUUCGGCUUAACCGGACAGCGUGCAGGAGACACUGCCAUGCUCGAGACCGGGAGGCGUUAGAAGUAUGUCAUGGGGACUGGUAAAAUGGGAUAAUCCAUGAUAGACUACCGAUGGCGAAGGCAUCUAACGAGAACGGAUCUGACGGUGAGGAACGAAAGCCAGGGGA